GGUUAAGUUAAUAAGGGCGCACGGUGGAUGCCUUGGCACUAGGAGCCGAAGAAGGACGUGACAAACGACGAUAUGCCUUGGGUAGCUGUAAGUAAGCGAUGAUCCAGGGAUUUCCGAAUGGGGGAACCCAACAGGUACUACCUGUUACCCGCAUCUGUUAAGGAUGUGAGGAGGAAGACGCAGUGAACUGAAACAUCUAAGUAGCUGCAGGAAGAGAAAGCAAAAGCGAUUGCCUUAGUAGCGGCGAGCGAAACGGCAGGAGGGCAAACCGAAGAGUUUACUCUUCGGGGUUGUAGGACUGCAAUGUGGACUCAAAGAUUAUAGAAGAAUGAUUUGGGAAGAUCAGCCAAAGAGAGUAAUAGCCUCGUAUUUAAAAUAGUCUUUGUACCUAGCAGUAUCCUGAGUACGGCGGGACACGCGAAAUCCCGUCGGAAUCUGGGAGGACCAUCUCCCAACCCUAAAUACUCCCUAGUGACCGAUAGUGAACCAGUACCGUGAGGGAAAGGUGAAAAGCACCCCGGGAGGGGAGUGAAAUAGAACCUGAAACCGUGUGCCUACAACAAGUUCGAGCCCGUUAAUGGGUGAGAGCGUGCCUUUUGUAGAAUGAACCGGCGAGUUACGUUAUGAUGCGAGGUUAAGUUGAAGAGACGGAGCCGUAGGGAAACCGAGUCUGAACAGGGCGAAUUAGUAUCAUGACGUAGACCCGAAACCAUGUGACCUACCCAUGAGCAGGUUGAAGGUGCGGUAAGACGCACUGGAGGACCGAACCAGGGCACGUUGAAAAGUGCUUGGAUGACUUGUGGGUAGCGGAGAAAUUCCAAACGAACUUGGAGAUAGCUGGUUCUCUCCGAAAUAGCUUUAGGGCUAGCGUCGACAUUAAGAUUCUUGGAGGUAGAGCACUGUUUGGGUGAGGGGUCCAUCCCGGAUUACCAAUCUCAGAUAAACUCCGAAUGCCAAUGAAUUAUGGUCGGCAGUCAGACUGCGAGUGCUAAGAUCCGUAGUCGAAAGGGAAACAGCCCAGACCACCAGCUAAGGUCCCAAAAUAAUUGUUAAGUGGAAAAGGAUGUGGGGUUGCACAGACAACUAGGAUGUUAGCUUAGAAGCAGCUAUUCAUUCAAAGAGUGCGUAAUAGCUCACUAGUCGAGUGACCCUGCGCCGAAAAUGUACCGGGGCUAAAACAAUUUACCGAAGCUGUGGAUACCUUUAUAGGUAUGGUAGGAGAGCGUUCUAUGUGUGAAGAAGGUGUACCGUGAGGAGUGCUGGAACGCAUAGAAGUGAGAAUGCCGGUAUGAGUAGCGAAAGACAGGUGAGAAUCCUGUCCACCGUAAGACUAAGGUUUCCAGGGGAAGGCUCGUCCGCCCUGGGUUAGUCGGGACCUAAGGAGAGACCGAAAGGUGUAUCCGAUGGACAACAGGUUGAUAUUCCUGUACUAGAGUAUGUAGUGAUGGAGGGACGCAGUAGGCUAACUAAAGCAGACGAUUGGAAGUGUCUGUCUAAGCAGUGAGGUGUGAUAUGAGUCAAAUGCUUAUAUCUGUAACAUUGAGCUGUGAUGGGGAGCGAAGUUUAGUAGCGAAGUUAGUGACGUCACACUGCCAAGAAAAGCUUCUAGCGUUUAAACAUACUCUACCCGUACCGCAAACCGACACAGGUAGUCGAGGCGAGUAGCCUCAGGUGAGCGAGAGAACUCUCGUUAAGGAACUCGGCAAAAUGACCCCGUAACUUCGGGAGAAGGGGUGCUGACUUUAAGUCAGCCGCAGUGAAUAGGCCCAAGCAACUGUUUAUCAAAAACACAGCUCUCUGCUAAAUCGUAAGAUGAUGUAUAGGGGGUGACGCCUGCCCGGUGCUGGAAGGUUAAGAGGAGUGCUUAGCGCAAGCGAAGGUAUGAAUUGAAGCCCCAGUAAACGGCGGCCGUAACUAUAACGGUCCUAAGGUAGCGAAAUUCCUUGUCGGGUAAGUUCCGACCCGCACGAAAGGCGUAAUGAUUUGGGCACUGUCUCAACGAGAGACUCGGUGAAAUUUUAGUACCUGUGAAGAUGCAGGUUACCCGCGACAGGACGGAAAGACCCCAUGGAGCUUUAC
rnacentral:rRNA from 1 species